UACGGAGGGUGCGAGCGUUGUCCGGAAUCACUGGGCGUAAAGGGCGCGUAGGCGGCUGGGGAAGUCGGCGGUGAAAGCCCGGAGCUCAACUCCGGAACUGCCAUUGAAACUGUUUAGCUUGAGGAUGAGAGAGGUGAGUGGAAUUCCCAGUGUAGAGGUGAAAUUCGUAGAUACUGGGAAGAACACCGGUGGCGAAGGCGGCUCACUGGCUCAUUACUGACGCUCAGGCGCGAUAGCGUGGGGAUCAAACAGG
rnacentral:rRNA from 1 species